rnacentral:rRNA from 1 species
UACAGAGGGGGCAAGCGUUGUCCGGAAUUACUGGGCGUACAGCGCGCGCAGGCGGUUCAGGACGUGCCGUGUGACAAUCGUCGGCUUAACCGACGGAGGCCAGGGUACACGACUGAACUGGAGGCAGAGAGAGGGAUGUGGAAUACCCGGUGGAGCGGUGAAAUGCGUAGAGAUCGGGUGGAACACCAGGGGCGAAGGCGGCAUCCUGGCUCUGUUCUGACGCUGAGGCGCGAGAGCGUGGGGAGCGAACAGG